UACGGGGGGGGCAAGCGUUGUUCGGAAUUACUGGGCGUAAAAGGCUCGUAGGCGGCCAACUAAGUCAGACGUGAAAUCCCUCGGCUUAACCGGGGAACUGCAUCUGAUACUGGAUGGCUCGAGUUUGGGAGAGGGAUGCGGAAUUCCAGGUGUAGCGGUGAAAUGCGUAGAUAUCUGGAGGAACACCGGUGGCGAAGGCGGCAUCCUGGACCAACACUGACGCUGAUGAGCGAAAGCCAGGGGAGCAAACGGG
rnacentral:rRNA from 1 species